rnacentral:rRNA from 1 species
UACGAAGGGUGCAAGCGUUAAUCGGAAUUACUGGGCGUAAAGCGCGUGUAGGCGGCCCGAUAAGUCCGCUGUGAAAGUCCAGGGCUCAACCCUGGGAUGCCGGUGGAUACUGUCGGGCUCGAGUCCGGAAGAGGCGAGUGGAAUUCCUGGUGGUAGCGGUGAAAUGCGCAGAUAUCAGGAGGAACACCUAGUGCGAAGGCAGCUCGCUGGACCGGUACUGACGCUGAAGCGCGAAGACGUGGGGAGCAAACGGG